UUGAACGCUGGCGGCAGGCCUAACACAUGCAAGUCGAGCGGCAGCACGGGUACUUGUACCUGGUGGCGAGCGGCGGACGGGUGAGUAAUGCCUAGGAAUCUGCCUGGUAGUGGGGGAUAACGUUCGGAAACGGACGCUAAUACCGCAUACGUCCUACGGGAGAAAGCAGGGGACCUUCGGGCCUUGCGCUAUCAGAUGAGCCUAGGUCGGAUUAGCUAGUUGGUGGGGUAAUGGCUCACCAAGGCGACGAUCCGUAACUGGUCUGAGAGGAUGAUCAGUCACACUGGAACUGAGACACGGUCCAGACUCCUACGGGAGGCAGCAGUGGGGAAUAUUGGACAAUGGGCGAAAGCCUGAUCCAGCCAUGCCGCGUGUGUGAAGAAGGUCUUCGGAUUGUAAAGCACUUUAAGUUGGGAGGAAGGGCAGUUACCUAAUACGUGAUUGUCUUGACG
rnacentral:rRNA from 1 species